CGCAAAAAUUGACGUCGUCUUGUAGUUGUAGAUGAGAUCCAAUCUUUAUUCUUAAAACCAGAGGCGUUCUUCACUUUUCAGGGGGAUUGAUUGAUGAUACUUGUUGAUUAAUCCAUGAAGAAUACCAAUACAUGGAUAAGUGGAGGGUAAUACAAGUAUAAAACUGUAAUUCCUCAUGGCAUUUUCAUUCACGCAUACGUGGCAGUUCGUGAGCAGACGAACCAUUGAAACGGCCUUGCGCAGUCUAGCUGCUUCCAUCCAGAUACUAGUAGAACCCAAAACAUUGUUUUGACAAAUACUGUCAUAUUUUGGUUUUAUGUUUUCACUAAAUACCAAUACAGGCUGACCCUACGAGCAACGACAAUUUUAGCUACAAAUGUUUAGCGCCUCGUCUUGCAGCUAGUAGUGGAUAUUCUAGGUUUUUAAAUUUAAUAUUUGAAUCAUCUUUCUGUCUGAGGAGGAAAAACUAGAUGGCGUUGAGUGCACUUUGAUAAAGAUUACGAAUGUCAAGUAAAAUGCGUGUUAAUAUCGUAAUAUAAUAGUAUUGUAAUGUAUUUGUUAUUAAAUUUAUGGGAUGCUGAUUUGUGUGUAUGUUUGUGUUUAGGUAAUCAAUCAAUGCUGGCUGUUCUACACUUGUUGAAUAAUGGUCAGUGUAAUAAAUUUUCUAGAUUCGCUGAUAAAUCCAGUAUCACCUCUUCACGUGAAGAGGUGAUACUGGAUUUCUCCACUCCUCGUGAUACUGGUACCAGUCCUCUCUCUUCAGUGAUUAGGUACAACACCACUCCAAUCCAUAGUGGCAAUUUUCAUUUCCGUGCAAGUGCCCUUCUAACUUUUGACAUAGCAAGGUGAAGAGAAAACUGGGAUUUGCAUGGAUUAAUCCUUGGAAGAAUUCCUCAUCUCAGUGAAGUUCACAAAAUACAAAUUAGUGUACAAUUGGCAUUGUCACAAACGAUGGAUAAAACAGAAGGUUAAGACUCACCACAUUGAACUCACUCACCAAUAAAAUAAAAAUAACUAGCUGUGGAAAUGUUGCCUACACUAGGAGUUAUUCUUGAAGUCUUGAUUUCAUAUAAAAGAAAAUGUGCCCCUGUUUUGACCACAGCCUUCUUUUGUUUGAUUUAUCUUUAAUGUUUGUCUCGCCUUUGUUUCAAUAGGGCUGUUCGACAUCUUUUUUAAGAUUUGUUGAAAUCGUGAAACGCGGCAACUCAUGUAUUUUUUCGUCUGCUACGAGUGACUUGUGUAGUUCUGCGAAAUAUAAAUUUUUUUAAAAAACAGUGAUAGAAAACGGGGUUGUUUUGAAGUUCUGAUGUGUUUUCUUUAUAUAUUAGUUCGUUAUAGUGUUAGUGUUUAACUAUGUCACUGUCUAAUUAUGCCAGUGGACUUAGUAUUGAGGCCAAAACACGUUAUUUGGAAAAGUUACAAAUGUUUAACAGUGAUUGUCCAUAUUGUAUUCCUAAUUCUCUGUGGAAACACGGUUUAGACUGUUGUCCAAUUGUUCCAAAAAUUGCUCCCUCAGAUAUCUUCAUAUAUCUUGUUGAAAC